rnacentral:rRNA from 1 species
GACGAACGCUGGCGGCGUGCUUAACCCAUGCAAGUCGAACGGAGUGGCGAACGGGUGAGUAACACGUGGGUGACCUGCCCUGCACUUCGGGAUAAGCCUGGGAAACUGGGUAUAAUAACGGAUAGUGUGGGAUGGGCCCGCGGCCUAUCAGAUUGUUGGUGGGGUAAUGGCCUACCAAGGAGGCGGCGGGUAGCCGGCCUGAGAGGUUGGACGGCCACAUUGGUACUGAGACACGGCCCAGACUCCUACGGGAGGCAGCAGUCGGGAAUAUUGCGCAAUGGGCGGAAGCCUGAUGCAGCGACGCCGCGUGGGGGAUGACGGCCUUCUGGUUGUAAACGCCUGUCACCAUCGACGCGGUAGAUGGAGAAGAAGCACCGGCUAACUACGUGCCAGCCGCCGCGGUAAUAC